UACGUAGGGCGCAAGCGUUGUCCGGAAUUAUUGGGCGUAAAGAGCUCGUAGGCGGUUUGUCGCGUCUGUCGUGAAAGCUUGGGGCUUAACCCCAAGUCUGCGGUGGAUACGGGCAGACUAGAGGCAGGUAGGCGAGAACGGAAUUCCCGGUGUAGCGGUGAAAUGCGCAGAUAUCGGGAGGAACACCGGUGGCGAAGGCGGUUCUCUGGGCCUGUACUGACGCUGAGGAGCGAAAGCGUGGGGAGCGAACAGG
rnacentral:rRNA from 1 species